rnacentral:rRNA from 1 species
GCUCAACCGGGGAGGGUCAUUGGAAACUGGGGAACUUGAGUGCAGAAGAGGAGAGUGGAAUUCCACGUGUAGCGGUGAAAUGCGUAGAGAUGUGGAGGAACACCAGUGGCGAAGGCGACUCUCUGGUCUGUAACUGACGCUGAGGCGCGAAAGCGUGGGGAGCGAACAGGAUUAGAUACCCUGGUAGUCCACGCCGUAAACGAUGAGUGCUAAGUGUUAGAGGGUUUCCGCCCUUUAGUGCUGCAGCAAACGCAUUAAGCACUCCGCCUGGGGAGUACGGUCGCAAGACUGAAACUCAAAGGAAUUGACGGGGGCCCGCACAAGCGGUGGAGCAUGUGGUUUAAUUCGAAGCAACGCGAAGAACCUUACCAGGUCUUGACAUCCUCUGACAACCCUAGAGAUAGGGCUUCCCCUUCGGGGGCAGUGUGACAGGUGGUGCAUGGUUGUCGUCAGCUCGUGUCGUGAGAUGUUGGGUUAAGUCCCGCAACGAGCGCAACCCUUGAUCUUAGUUGCCAGCAUUCAGUUGGGCACUCUAAGGUGACUGCCGGUGACAAACCGGAGGAAGGUGGGGAUGACGUCAAAUCAUCAUGCCCCUUAUGACCUGGGCUACACACGUGCUACAAUGGGCAGAACAAAG